rnacentral:ncRNA from 2 species
CAGCUUAAAGGCGGUGGAGUUCGCCUUAAACUGCCCUCUCUCUUUGGGCCAAUAACUCCUGCAAAAAC